rnacentral:rRNA from 1 species
UACAGGGGGUGCAAACGUUGCUCGGAAUUACUGGGCGUAAAGGGCUCGUAGGUGGCCAACUAAGUCAGACGUGAAAUCCCUCGGCUUAACCGGGGAACUGCGUCUGAUACUGGAUGGCUUGAGUUCGGGAGAGGGAUGCGGAAUUCCAGGUGUAGCGGUGAAAUGCGUAGAUAUCUGGAGGAACACCGGUGGCGAAGGCGGCAUCCUGGACCGACACUGACACUGAGGAGCGAAAGCCAGGGGAGCAAACGGG